GACGAACGCUGGCGGCGUGCUUAACACAUGCAAGUCGAACGGUAAGGCCCUUUCGGGGGUCCACGAGUGGCGAACGGGUGAGUAACACGUGGGUGAUCUGCCCUGCACUUUGGGAUAAGCCUGGGAAACUGGGUCUAAUACCGGAUAGGACUACGCGAUGCAUGUCGUGUGGUGGAAAGCUUUUGCGGUGUGGGAUGGGCCCGCGGCCUAUCAGCUUGUUGGUGGGGUGAUGGCCUACCAAGGCGACGACGGGUAGCCGGCCUGAGAGGGUGUCCGGCCACACUGGGACUGAGAUACGGCCCAGACUCCUACGGGAGGCAGCAGUGGGGAAUAUUGCACAAUGGGCGCAAGCCUGAUGCAGAGACGCCGCGUGGGGGAUGACGGCCUUCGGGUUGUAAACCCCUUUCAGCACAGACGAAGCGUAAGUGACGGUAUGUGCAGAAGAAGCACCGGCCAACUACGUG
rnacentral:rRNA from 1 species